UCCCGGCUCAGAUUGAACGCUGGCGGGAUGCUUUACACAUGCAAGCUCUAGAACGGCAGCACGGACUUCGGUCUGGUGGCGAGUGGCGAACGGUGAGUAAUGUAUCGGAACGCCUAUAGCGUGGGGAUAACUACGCGAAAGCGUAGCUAAUACCGCAUACGCCCUUCGGGGAAAGCGGGGACCUUCGCCUCGCACUAUUAGAGCGGCCGAUAUCGGAUUAGCUAGUUGGUGGGGUAACGGCUCACCAAGGUUGACGAUCCGUAGCUGGUUUGAGAGGACGACCAGCCACACUGGGACUGAGACACGGCCCAGACUCCUACGGGAGGCAGGGGAAUUUUGGACAAUGGGGGAAACCCCGAUCCAGCCAUCCCGCGUGUGCGAUGAAGGCCUUCGGGUUGUAAGCACUAUGGCAGGAAAGAAACGGCAUGGAUAAUACCCCGUGCAACUGACGGUACCUGCAGAAUAAGCACCGGCUAACUACGCCAGCAGCCGCGGUAAUACGUAGGUGCAAGCGUUAAUCGGAAUUACUGGGCGUAAAGCGUGCGCAGGCGGUUCGAAAGAAAGAUGUAAACCGCAGAGCUUAACUUUUGAACUGUACAUUUUUAACUACCGAGCUAGAGUGUGUCAGAGGGAGGUGAAUUCGUGUAGCAGUGAAAUGCGUAGAUAUGUGAGGAACACCGAUGGCGAAGGCAGCCUCCUGGGAUAACACUGACGCUCAUGCACGAAAGCGUGGGGAGCAAACAGGAUUAGAUACCCUGGUAGUCCACGCCCUAAACGAUGUCAACUUAGCUGUUGGGGCCUUCGGGCCUUGGUAGCGCAGCUAACGCGUGAAGUUGACCGCCUGGGGAGUACGGUCGCAAGAUUAAAACUCAAAGGAAUUGACGGGACCCGCACAAGCGGUGGAUGAUGUGGAUUAAUUGAUGCAACGCGAAAAACCUCACUUACCCUUGACAUGUCUUGUGUCCUGGAAGAGAUUUGGGAGUGCUCGCAAGAGAACCGGAACACAGGUGUUGCAUGGCUGUCGUCAGCUCGUGUCGUGAGAUGCUGGGUUAAGUCCCGCAACGAGCGCAACCUCGCCGCCAGUUGCUACGAAAGGGCACUGACGACUGCUGGUGACAAACCGGAGGAAGGUGGGGAUGAUGCGUCAAGCCCCUGGCCUUAUGGGUAGGGCUUCACACGUCAUACAAUGGUCGGGACAGAGGGUCGCCAACCCGCGAGGGGGAGCCAAUCCCAGAACCUGAUCGAAGUCCGAUCGCAGUCUGCAACCGACUGCGUGAAGUCGGAAUCGCUAGUAAUCGCGGAUCAGCAUGUCGCGGUGAAUACGUUCCCGGGUCUUGUACACACCGCCCGUCACACCAUGGGAGUGUCACUAGAGUAGUUAGCCUAAAUCCGUAAGAGGCGAUUACCACGGUAGGAUUCAUGACUGGGGUGAAGUCGUAACAAGGUAG
rnacentral:rRNA from 1 species